AUGAUAUUAUACUACUUAGAUAGUCCUAUCUAGCCAUUUUUAGCUCCCGGUUUUUUAGGACUAUCCAGUUCUCAUGAAAAAAA
rnacentral:sRNA from 1 species